rnacentral:rRNA from 1 species
UAGGGAAUCUUCGNCAAUGGACGGAAGUCUGACCGAGCAACGCCGCGUGAGUGAAGAAGGUUUUCGGAUCGUAAAGCUCUGUUGUAAGAGAAGAACGAGUGUGAGAGUGGAAAGUUCACACUGUGACGGUAUCUUACCAGAAAGGGACGGCUAACUACGUGCCAGCAGCCGCGGUAAUACGUAGGUCCCGAGCGUUGUCCGGAUUUAUUGGGCGUAAAGCGAGCGCAGGCGGUUUGAUAAGUCUGAAGUUAAAGGCUGUGGCUCAACCAUAGUUCGCUUUGGAAACUGUCAAACUUGAGUGCAGAAGGGGAGAGUGGAAUUCCAUGUGUAGCGGUGAAAUGCGUAGAUAUAUGGAGGAACACCGGUGGCGAAAGCGGCUCUCUGGUCUGUAACUGACGCUGAGGCUCGAAAGCGUGGGGAGCAAACAGGAUUAGAUACCCUGGUAGUCCACGCCGUAAACGAUGAGUGCUAGGUGUUAGACCCUUUCCGGGGUUUAGUGCCGCAGCUAACGCAUUAAGCACUCCGCCUGGGGGAGUACGGCCGCAAGGUUA